AUUGAACGCUGGCGGCAUGCCUUACACAUGCAAGUCGAACGGUAACAGGUCUUCGGAUGCUGACGAGUGGCGAACGGGUGAGUAAUACAUCGGAACGUGCCCAGACGUGGGGGAUAACGAGGCGAAAGCUUUGCUAAUACCGCAUACGAUCUAAGGAUGAAAGCAGGGGACCGCAAGGCCUUGCGCGUUUGGAGCGGCCGAUGGCAGAUUAGGUAGUUGGUGGGAUAAAAGCUUACCAAGCCGACGAUCUGUAGCUGGUCUGAGAGGACGACCAGCCACACUGGGACUGAGACACGGCCCAGACUCCUACGGGAGGCAGCAGUGGGGAAUUUUGGACAAUGGGCGAAAGCCUGAUCCAGCAAUGCCGCGUGCAGGAUGAAGGCCUUCGGGUUGUAAACUGCUUUUGUACGGAACGAAAAGGCUCUGGCUAAUACCUGGGGCACAUGACGGUACCGUAAGAAUAAGCACCGGCUAACUACGUGCCAGCAGCCGCCGUAACAC
rnacentral:rRNA from 1 species